rnacentral:rRNA from 1 species
UACGUAGGGUGCAAGCGUUGUCCGGAAUUAUUGGGCGUAAAGAGCUCGUAGGCGGCUUGAUACGUCGACUGUGAAAACCCGGGGCUCAACUCCGGGCCUGCAGUCGAUACGGGCUGGCUUGAGUGCGGUAGGGGAGACUGGAAUUCCUGGUGUAGCGGUGAAAUGCGCAGAUAUCAGGAGGAACACCGGUGGCGAAGGCGGGUCUCUGGGCCGUAACUGACGCUGAGGAGCGAAAGCGUGGGGAGCGAACAGG